rnacentral:rRNA from 1 species
UGGGGAAUUUUGGACAAUGGGCGAAAGCCUGAUCCAGCAAUGCCGCGUGUGUGAAGAAGGCCUUCGGGUUGUAAAGCACUUUUGUCCGGAAAGAAAUCCUUGGCUCUAAUACAGUCGGGGGAUGACGGUACCGGAAGAAUAAGCACCGGCUAACUACGUGCCAGCAGCCGCGGUAAUACGUAGGGUGCAAGCGUUAAUCGGAAUUACUGGGCGUAAAGCGUGCGCAGGCGGUUUGCUAAGACCGAUGUGAAAUCCCCGGGCUCAACCUGGGAACUGCAUUGGUGACUGGCAGGCUAGAGUAUGGCAGAGGGGGGUAGAAUUCCACGUGUAGCAGUGAAAUGCGUAGAGAUGUGGAGGAAUACCGAUGGCGAAGGCAGCCCCCUGGGCCAAUACUGACGCUCAUGCACGAAAGCGUGGGGAGCAAACAGGAUUAGAUACCCUGGUAGUCCACGCCCUAAACGAUGUCAACUAGUUGUUGGGGAUUCAUUCCUUAGUAACGUAGCUAACGCGUGAAGUUGACCGCCUGGGGAGUACGGUCGCAAGAUUAAAACUUAAAUGAAUGGACGGGGUCAUAGCUGUUUCCU